rnacentral:misc_RNA from 1 species
AACCAUAGAAACCUGCGGAGUACCUGCGGAGGGAUCAUUACACAAUACAAUAUGAAGGCUGUCCGCAGCUGGAGUAUUUUAUUACCCUUGUCUUUUGCGCACUUGUUGUUUCCUGGGCGGGUUCGCUCGCCACCAGGACCACCAAAUAAACCUUUUUUAUGCAGUUGCAAUCAGCGUCAGUACAAACAAUGUAAAUCAUUUACAACUUUCAACAAUGGAUCUCAGAUCGGAAGAGCACAC